AAAAAAAUUAAAGAACCCCUGUGAGCUCUCUGUCUAAUCAAGUUAAUGGAGUUCUUUAACAAGGCAAAAACAGUAAGACUCAGGAGCUACCAUGACAAGUUCUUAGUUGCAGAUGAAGAUGAAGAAACAGUCCGGCAAGACCACGAUGGAUCCCCAUCUAAAGCCUGUUGGACCAUUGAGUUCGUUCAAAGCAAUUCCCACCUCAUCAGACUAAAAAGUUCAUAUGGCAAGUAUCUUUCAGCCUCAAAUGAGUCAUUUCUACUAGGCUUGACAGGAAAAAAAGUUAUGCAGAUCAUAUCAGCAACAAAGAAAGAUAUUACGAUCGAUUGGGAGCCGAGAACAGAAGGGUUUCACGUGAAGUUAAGGACAAGAGCCGGCACGUUUCUGCGUGCUAAUGGAGGAACCCCGCCGUGGAGGAACUCGGUAACUCAUGACGUUCCACAUAGGUCUGCUACACAAGAUUGGGUGCUUUGGAAGGUGGAUAUACUAGGAUUUGAUUCAAUACCUGGUUACUUAUCCUCUGCAUCGAGUGUUUCGUCUUCGUUUUCAUCGGAUUUUGCUGGUUCAGAGUGUUCGGAGACUGAGUCUCAGUCGGUGUAUUCUGUGUGUAGUGACAGAAAUGCAUUGGAAGAAGAGAAUAAUUAUGCUAUGGAGCUUUUCCAAGAAGCCAAAGUGAUCCGGCUUCGAAGCCACCAUGACAAGUUCCUAUUGGCAGAUGAUGAUCAAGAAUGUGUGAGCCAAGAUCGAAAUGGAGAAGUCAAGAAUGCAAGAUGGACGGUGGAGAUCGUCGAAAAGGCCAAUGUUGUGCGUUUGAAAAGUUAUUAUGGGAAGUAUCUAACAGCCUCCAACAUGCCAUUCCUGCUAGGGAUGACAGGCAAGAAAGUCCUGCAAAGCUUGCCAAGAAGAUUGGAUUCUUCUCUGGAAUGGCAGCCUAUUAGAGAAGGAGACCUAAUCAAGCUCAAGACUCGUUAUGGACAAUAUUUACGUGCAAAUGCAGGUCUACCACCUUGGAGGAAUCACAUUACUCAUGAUAUUCCUCGUAGAAGUUCAACCCAAGAUUGGAUUUUGUGGGAUAUUGAUAUUGUAGAGAUAAGGAGAACAGAUCCACCACCGCAAACCGCCACUAAUCGAGUUGAUCAACGACUGUAUUCUCAGAGACCACAGCUUAGUAAUCAAGCUGAGGUUGCACCUUCUAAGCCGGGUUCGCCCACUGCAAUAUGGCGUACACCACCUAGCUUUUCAAGAUCAGAGCUUUUCUAUUUGCAGUCUGAUGAUUCAUUUGUGGGCGUACCAAUGAAAAACGAAGGCAGGCUCAUCCAUUACAGUGUGGCCAACGAAAAUGGUGAUUUUGACGUCAAUAAGAAGCUUUCCUUUACUUUCAAGGGAACUGAGGUGGAAGAAUUGAAGCAAAGGUUGAAGGAAGAAACAAGGCUAGAUGAUAUCCUGGUGUGUUCUCGAAAUCCAUUGAAUGGGAAACAUUACCCUCUUCGGUUAAAUCUUCCUCCAAACAAUGCAGAGAUGAUUAUUGUUGUGCUUCCCUCAUCAGGGAAAGGUUAGAUUUUUUGAUGUUCUAAAUGCAACUUUAUUUAUUUGGUUUAGUCAUUAAUCAAGUGUUUUGCAUCUUGUUAUGGACUCCAUGUGCAAUUUUACCAGCAGCAUUAAAUAUGUGCAAUUUUACCAGCAGCAUCAAAUAUUAGGCAUCUGAGGAG
rnacentral:misc_RNA from 1 species